rnacentral:rRNA from 1 species
GACAUAGGUGGCGAACGUUAUCCGGAAUUAUUGGGCGUAAAGGAUGCGUAGAUGGUGUGAAAAGUUAUCAGUGGCAAAUCGGGGCUCAACCUCGUGGAAGCUGUUAAUACUAUCAUGCUUGAGUUCAGGAGAAGUUAACGGAACUCCAUGUGGAGCGGUAAAAUGUGACGAUAUAUGGAAGAACACCGAUAAGGCGAAGGCAGUUAACUAUUCUGUUACUGACAUUGAGGCAUGAAAGCGUGGGGAGCAAAACGG